rnacentral:rRNA from 1 species
AAACUUUCAACAACGGAUCUCUUGGUUCUCGCAUCGAUGAAGAACGCAGCGAAAUGCGAUAAGUAAUGUGAAUUGCAGAUUUUCGUGAAUCAUUGAAUCUUUGAACGCACAUUGCGCUUUCUGGUAUUCCGGAAAGCAUGCCUGUUUGAGCGUCAUUU